GCUUUUAAAAACAUUUAUCAUGUAGUGGAGCUGCAUUAGUGUUGCUCUCCACUUUCUGGAGGAUCGAGUUUUGAAAUAAGUGGAAUUAGAGAAUGAUCGCUAAAGAGAUGGAGAAAAAACCUGUCUCCGGAUUACAUCUCCAAACAAAGGGCAACCGUGCAUGGCAUCCGUGACAGGGAGACAAGUCCAUCAUGCAUGAUGAUGUAUGCAGAUCCAUUUGCUUCAUCCACCAGCAGAUUCAUGCAAGGAUAUACCACAAAACCCCAAGGAAUCUCCAAAUGCUAUGUUGAACGAGCACCAUGGAUGAAGGAGGGGGAGGAAAACUGACAGCUUCUCUCUACCACACCUUCACCAAGUCAUACGUUUGCCUCAUGAACAAUUGUAACAUCUUCUGAAAUAAAUACAGAAUUAUUGUAGUUAAUUCUGUUUCUAAUGUUUUUUAUGCUGGAUGUGAGUAAUUUGGCAAGUCUAUAGUAUAAUGUAUUGAUUUGGAAUGUUUAUUAAAUAUCUAUUCUGUCACAACUCAA